rnacentral:rRNA from 1 species
UACGUAGGAUGCAAGCGUUGUCCGGAUUUACUGGGCGUAAAGCGCGCGCAGGCGGCACUGUAAGUAAGAUGUGAAAUCUCCUUGCUCAACGGGGAGGGUGCAUUUUAGACUACAGAGCUAGAGGUCGGUAGAGGGGGGUGGAAUUGCUGGUGUAGCGGUGAAAUGCGUAGAGAUCAGCAGGAACACCCGUGGCGAAGGCGGCCCCCUGGGCCGUACCUGACGCUGAGGCGCGAAGGCUAGGGGAGCAAACGGG